AGGAUGGAGAACAAGAAAGGGUCAACAUUUCCAACCGAUUGAAUUUCGAAAUUGAGGUGGAAUCUCAUCCAAGCUCGCUCCUUUGUUUGUUCUUCGAGGGCACACUUCAGGAGGGCCAAGCACUCCGUUGUAGCACUGUGAGUAGUAGUAC